UUGCCCAAUGAUUAUAAAAAGACGCGUUAUUGUGAGGGUCAAUACUAGAACCAGUUGCACACUUUUUUUGUAUCCCCCUCUUCUCUCUCUUCUCUCUCCCCCCAAUCAUCACUCCCCCUCUCCUAAACCACCCCCAUAUUUUCAUCUCUCCCAACUGGAUGCUAGUAUCCUUUGAACAAACCAAGUUUAUGAGGGCAU